CCCAUGUCAAACCACCGCACAAGCCCCCGUAUGUUCCUAAACCACCUUAUUCCCCAAGCCCUAAACCGCCUUACGUGCCAAAACCACCUCAUACUCCAGUCCCUAGGCCACCAUAUUUCCCCAAACCACCUUACACACCAAGGCCUAAGCCACCAUAUGCGCCAAAACCACCUUAUACGCCAACCCCUAAGCCACCAUAUUUCCCCAAACCACCUUACACACCAAGGCCGAAGCCACCAUAUGUGCCAAAACCACCUUAUACGCCAGCCCCUAAGCCACCAUAUUUUCCCAAACCACCUUACACACCAAGGCCUAAGCCACCAUAUGCACCAAAACCACCUUAUACGCCAACACCUAAGCCACCAUAUUUCCCCAAACCACCUUACACACCAAGGCCUAAGCCACCGUACGUGCCAAAACCACCGUACACACCAAGGCCUAAGCCACCGUACGUGCCAAAACCACCAUACACACCAACCCCUAAGCCACCGUACGUGCCAAAACCACCUUACACCCCAACCCCUAAGCCACCGUACGUGCCAAAACCACCGUAUACCCCAACUCCUAAGCCACCGUACGUCCCAUCGCCACCUUAUACCCCUCGCCCUAAACCACCGUAUGUACCAUCACCACCUUAUACCCCUAGCCCUAAACCACCGUAUGUGCCAUCACCAC
rnacentral:lncRNA from 1 species